UACAGGGGGGGCAAACGUUGCUCGGAAUUAUUGGGCGUAAAGCGCGCGUAGGCGGCUACUUAAGUCGGAUGUGAAAGCCCUUGGCUCAACUGAGGAAGUGCACCCGAAACUGAGUAGCUGGAGUACGAAAGAGGGUCGCGGAAUUCCCGGUGUAGAGGUGAAAUUCGUAGAUAUCGGGAGGAACACCGGUGGCGAAGGCGGCGACCUGGGUCGAUACUGACGCUGAGGCGCGAAAGCGUGGGGAGCGAACAGG
rnacentral:rRNA from 1 species